UUUCAUUCUAAUGAAAAUUAAAUAUACUCUUUCUGAUAAAUGAAAUGUCAUUUCGAAAGGUCACUUAAACCAAAUUAGACUGAAGAUCAAACCUAUCUGCCAAUGUAUAACAUUAUUUUGAGAUCCAUUUACUCACCUUUAUAUUGAAAGCUCUGAUAAUUAUAGGUUAUCCCAAUGUUCCAGCAGGGUUUUUCUUUAAAUGUUAUAUCAGACUGAGAGGGAGAUGAGAUGAUGUCCAGACAUUUGGAUGAAGUAUGCAAAAGCAACCAUUUCCAAAAGCUGCUUUGGGCAUUUUAUAUUUUAUUUUAUCUCGGUGGGGAAUGGACUGUCGGAGAUGGUCGGGUUGAAUUGUGGGAGAUGGUGGGAUUGAACUGUGGGAGAUGUUGGGAUUGAACUGUGAUUGGAAUGUUUCCUCAUUUGCCAGUCCAGAACGUUGGGGAUCUUUGCCUAUGUUACAGAACACACAGCAACAAUAACCUGUCAGUUCUUGUCACUGCCUUUAAACUUUUCCGACAAUUACUUGCUCUUGCUUCCUGAACAAACCUGGAUUCUUCCCCUGUCACCUCAUAACUUGUAACGUGAUAUGAAACAAAAGAUGGAACUGAAAAAUUAUAUCUUAUCCCAUUUUACUUGCUUUAGAGCAGCCAAACUUUUUUCGAUCAUCCCUCUACAAUCAGUCUGAAGAAGGGUCUUGACCUGAAAUGUCACCUAUUCACGUUCUCAGAGACACUUCCUGACCCACUGAGUUACUCCAGCAAUUUGUGUCUUUUUGUGCAUUAACCAGCAUCUGCAGCUCCUUGUUUCUACAUUUCAUGCACAGUGAUGAACCCAAUGAUGAACACAGAAGGAACCCAAUGGGAUGACUACAUUUGACAGCUAGUUUAUAUCUGGAUCUGUUAUUGCCAGUCGUAUCUUAGAAAACUGAUUCACAAAAUUGCUUUUAUGCCCGUGAUAACUCUAACCUUUGCUGCCACAAAGCAGUUUUCCCAUCUUCUGUUUGGAUUAUCAAUCUCCCGAAUCUCUUUUGAGAUGAUAUAAAUGUUGUCUUUUGUAUUCUCUUUACUAUCUAUGUAUAAGCUCUCACACUCACUUACACAAGUUCAGCAUCAAGUUAUCAAAUAACCUUCUUGUUAUUUUGGUUACAAACAGCAGUUUUAAGGUUAAGAAACAAACCUUAAUUAUAACCAGGUAGUGCUCAGGGGAGUUGACCUUUCACAGAGUGCAGUUGUUAAAAGGGUUGCAUUGUUGUACUGAACACAUUUAUCCCAUACUGGCAAUAUAGAUCAAUGAUUACCUGUCUUCUUAUCUACAGUAUGUAUGCAUUUGCACAUUUAUUAAUCAUCAUUCUUUAAUAGUUCAAUCUAACUGUGAAGUUACAUUAUUUUAUUUGUCAUUUAUCUCAGGAUUUGAAUCGUAUGCAAAUUACAAUAUUUUCUAACCAUUUAAUUUCCAAAUAUUAAUCUAUUCCAGUCCUUUAUACAGUUUGACAAGAAAGGCUGUGUAAUACAGAGAAAUCUGGAACCUCUAGCUCACUUUGGAAAUGUUUAACUCUUCCACUAUUUUGCAACCUCUUUUUUGUUUGACAUUUCAUAAGUGUCACAGAGUAAUGGGGGUCAUUCAGCAUGGAAACAGGCCAUUCUACCUACCAUGUUCAUGAUCAUCCCCCUACAAUCUACCACCAUAAUUUCAUGUUUCAUAUAUCUUGUGUUUUAUGAUUGUUGGCAGAUCAAUUUCCCUCCUGGGAUAAAUAAAAUUCUAUCAUAUCGUA